GCAUUUGCUCAAAAAGUAUAAAGCUAGAACAUUAAGGAACAACGUACCAUUAAACUCGACGGUCUCCAAUUGCAUAGAUAAGAGGAUCACCUACAGACAUCGAUAAUUUCCUUAGAUCUGACAACAACUAGAAGGUUUGAAAUAGAAAAUGGCAUCGAAGCUCAUCAAUGCUGCGUUUCUUCUGGUCGUUCUUGUGGGCGCAACCAUUGCCAACACCACAGGCGACGUGGAACGAGACAGCGAGACCUUUCCCCUUAAUAUGGACGUUGAUGAGGAGAUACAACAUGACAUGGGAGAUGUUGAAGCUGUAGCAAGGUGGGACAGGGACCCAGAAAGUGUGCUGGAUAACGGGAUAGGAUGGUAGAGGAGUGUACAAAGGCGCCAAUGAGACAUGCUUAACAUGCCUCUCGAGGACAGAGUCAGAGAAAAAUGGAACAUCGAAAAGAGCUGACAGGCCGACGUGAUGAAGGGCCACUAUCUCCUCUGGUUCGAUCAAUUUGGGAAAAGGUCUAAAUAGUCUAGACUACACCUCUUCAACAUUAAAUAUGUAGUGAUAAUUCAAGAAAUGUAUUUAUCAUUUUAGUAAGUUUAUUGUUACUAAAAGUCAUUUAAAAAAAUACUAUCACCUGUAAUACUUGAAACAUUAAAUGAAGCACCUCACCAAACCACCAGAGUCUGUGUUUCUAACUUUCAACGUUUAAGUUGUUGUAUCUCUGUAGUGAAUACUAUGAAACUAGUACAGCCUUUUCCUAAUGUCCUCAUUUUAUCUUUCUCCUCCCCCUCACUCUUUCUCCCUCUCUGGCCCCUUCUUUCCCUUCCUAUUUGUUCACUCUCUUUGUGUUCCACUUUCUACCCCUUCAUUUCUAUCUGCAUGGUCUGUUUCGCUUUCUGUUUCUUUCUCUUUAAGUUGUCUCUUUGUAUCUCACCCUAUCCCCUAGACAAAACCUCAUCCUCUCAUUAUCUCUCUUGAUUAGUGCUCUCUUCCCAUAU